CUACCAUGCAGUCGAGCGGUAGAGAGAAGCUUGCUUCUCUUGAGAGCGGCGGACGGGUGAGUAAUGCCUAGGAAUCUGCCUGGUAGUGGGGGAUAACGUUCGGAAACGGACGCUAAUACCGCAUACGUCCUACGGGAGAAAGCAGGGGACCUUCGGGCCUUGCGCUAUCAGAUGAGCCUAGGUCGGAUUAGCUAGUUGGUGAGGUAAUGGCUCACCAAGGCGACGAUCCGUAACUGGUCUGAGAGGAUGAUCAGUCACACUGGAACUGAGACACGGUCCAGACUCCUACGGGAGGCAGCAGUGGGGAAUAUUGGACAAUGGGCGAAAGCCUGAUCCAGCCAUGCCGCGUGUGUGAAGAAGGUCUUCGGAUUGUAAAGCACUUUAAGUUGGGAGGAAGGGCAGUAAAUUAAUACUUUGCUGUUUUGACGUUACCGACAGAAUAAGCACCGGCUAACUCUGUGCCAGC
rnacentral:rRNA from 1 species